GCUUAAAGGGCCAUCCUAGUAGGAGCUUAAAAGACAGUAGUGCUGAGAGCAAUGCAGGUUAUAGAGGUCCAGUUCAACAGAUUUUAGAGGAGAACAUUAUUAGAACAAGAAUGUGUAAUCUGGUGGACAUCAGAUAGUAAUGCCUGGUGGAAAAGGAAAGGAAAAAUUUAAAGGCUUUACUUCUCAAGAGCAACUGUAAUUCAGAAACAGAACAUAGAAAAAGGAAGAAAGAAAACAGAUUCUUUAUUCCGGGACAUGAUAAAUAAACCUUCAAAAG